GGGGGUAUAGCUCAAAUGGCUAGAGCGAUCGCUUGUCGAGCGAUAGGUUGCGAGUUCGAUUCUCGUUGCUCCCG
rnacentral:tRNA from 1 species